rnacentral:rRNA from 1 species
GUUUCGGCUAGGGGGUCNUCCCGACUUACCAAACCGAUGCAAACUCCGAAUACCUACAAGUGNCCGAGCAUGGGNNAGACACACGGCGGGUGCUAACGUCCGUCGUGAAAAGGGAAACAACCCAGANCCGUCAGCUAAGGUCCCAAAGUUAUGGUUAAGUGGGAAACGAUGUGGGAAGGCUUAGACAGCUAGGAGGUUGGCUUAGAAGCAGCCACCCUUUAAAGAAAGCGUAAUAGCUCACUAGUCGAGUCGGCCUGCGCGGAAGAUGUAACGGGGCUCAAACCAUACACCGAAGCUACGGGUAUCACGUAAGUGAUGCGGUAGAGGAGCGUUCUGUAAGCCUGUGAAGGUGAGUUGAGAAGCUUGCUGGAGGUAUCAGAAGUGCGAAUGCUGACAUGAGUAACGACAAUGCGAGUGAAAAACUCGCACGCCGAAAGACCAAGGUUUCCUGCGCAACGUUAAUCGACGCAGGGUUAGUCGGCCCCUAAGGCGAGGCAGAAAUGCGUAGUCGAUGGGAAGCAGGUUAAUAUUCCUGCACUUCUAGUUACUGCGAUGGGGGGACGGAGAAGGCUAGGCCAGCACGGCGUUGGUUGUCCGUGUUUAAGGUGGUAGGCAGAGAUCUUAGGUAAAUCCGGGGUCUUAAUGCCGAGAACUGAUGACGAGUGUCCUUUUGGACAUGAAGUGGUUGAUGCCAUGCUUCCAGGAAAAGCCUCUAAGCUUCAGGUAACUAGGAACCGUACCCCAAACCGACACAGGUGGUUGGGUAGAGAAUACCAAGGCGCUUGAGAGAACUCGGGUGAAGGAACUAGGCAAAAUGGCACCG